rnacentral:rRNA from 1 species
CGGGUGAGUAACACGUAGGUAACCUGCCCUCAAGACGAGGAUAACCGUUGGAAACGAUGGCUAAGACUGGAUAGGAACCGAGGAGGCAUCUCUUUGGUUUUAAAGGACCUGGCAACAGGUACGCUUGAGGAGGGGCCUGCGGCGCAUUAGUUAGUUGGCGGGGUGAAGGCCCACCAAGACGAUGAUGCGUAGCCGGACUGAGAGGUUGAACGGCCACAUUGGGACUGAGAGACGGCCCAAACUCCUACGGGAGGCAGCAGUAGGGAAUUUUCGGCAAUGGGGGCAACCCUGACCGAGCAACGCCGCGUGAACGACGAAGUACUUCGGUAUGUAAAGUUCUUUUAUCAGGGAAGAAUGGCUUACGGAAAAGUGAGCGUGACGGUACCUGAUGAAUAAGCCCCGGCUAACUAUGUGCCAGCAGCCGCGGUAAUACAUAGGGGGCAAGCGUUAUCCGGAAUUAUUGGGCGUAAAGGGUGCGUAGGUGGCCGUUUAAGUCUUUGGUGUAAGUGCAAGGCUCAACCUUGUGAUGCUAAAGAAACUGGAUGGCUUGAGUGUGGUAGAGGCAAGUGGAAUUCCAUGUGUAGCGGUAAAAUGCGUAAAUAUAUGGAGGAACACCGGUGGCGAAGGCGGCUUGCUGGGCCACAACUGACACUGAGGCACGAAAGCGUGGGGAGCAAACAGGAUUAGAUACCCUGGUAGUCCACGCCGUAAACGAUGAGUACUAAGUGUAGGG